UACGUAGGCAGCGAGCGUUGUUCGGAAUUACUGGGCGUAAAGAGUGUGUAGGCGGUGCUCUAAGUUCGGUGUGAAAUCUCCCGGCUUAACUGGGAGGGUGCGCCGGAAACUGGAGUGCUCGAACGUGGGAGAGGAAAGCGGAAUUCCCGGUGUAGUGGUGAAAUGCGUAGAUAUCGGGAGGAACACCAGUGGCGAAGGCG
rnacentral:rRNA from 1 species